GCGGGAAGUACCAGGAAGGAAGAUAUCACUAUUUCUGCAAACUCAGUGAGAGCCUGACAUUCAUCGGUCCAUGUUUCUCAGUUGGAUAGGAUUAAUGAGUCUCUCUGUGGCCUGGUCUUCUGGCUCUGACAGGCUUUCCACACCUGUAGGCUCAUUUUCCAUGACCAGAAUGACUCAUUAGAAUUUUCACUAAACAAACGGCUGUUCUCUCCCUCAGGGACCCCCACAAAACAAGCCACUGCCAGCUACUGGGAGUUGUUAAGCCUUAUCAGCUAAUAGCUGACUGUUGCAGGAGCAUUAAGAUCCUGCUGUAAUGGGGCACAGGAUGGCAG
rnacentral:lncRNA from 1 species